UGCACCUCUAGUAAACAGCAUAAUCUAUGAGCACCUAAAAUGGCACACAAGGAAUUAGAUGCAUGAUGCAUUUCCAAAGCAUGUGCUAACCUUUGCUUCUACACUGCAGGCUAGAUCCUGGCUGGUGUAACUCAGCAUAGCUCCAUUAGACUGGAGCAGUGGAUCAGAUUGAAAGUACAGAAGAUACUUUGUUUUGAGUAAUCUGGUUUGGGCAUUGGCACCUCUUUCCCACAGGAGAUACUGACUAGAGCCUACUGGAGGGCUGGAAGGAUGACCGUGAUGGGCUGCAAGAAGGCUCGCUGUCAGUUCAACCCAUUUUGGUCCCCAGAAAACAAAAACCAAAAAGGACUCGGCUGCUUUCUUCUCUCUUCCUUGACUGUCUGAUUCCUUCUUCCUGCCUCUCACACUUCAUUGGUUUGCCUAGGGAAAUAGGAGGAACAACAGGCUACAAGAGCAAAUGAUUCUACUUUAAGGCGAUGCUUUGUGCCUGUGCAGAGAACUUCAUUCCUUAAUCACAUGCUAAGCGUGCAAUGCCUCUCCCACAGGAGAAAGUCCCCAAGCGAGAGGGCUCUCCCUGUGGGCAACCCUGAUUUUCCUGCAUGGAUUGGAACACAUGUGCACCUCUUCUAGACAAGGAAGAAACAAAAACAACCGAAAAGAAAAUUGAAUGCUCACCUGGAAAUGAAUUGACUCAAGAUCUGACCAAAAAAAUCCACAUAGGAGACAUAGGAUUCUUGUGUUUCAAACAAAAGGGUUUGGAGAAAGCUAUUCAGCAAGUGGUAAGACAAGCGGAACACUCACGCGCAAUGUGUUCUCAAAACACACACUCCAUUCCAAUUUUCAUGGCAUGAAAUCUUAUUUCUCCUCCUGACUCAAAGUACUUCAGCUUUCUAUAUGCAUGGUGUGUCAGUACUGAUCAGAGUAAUGUAUUCCGCAUGUUACUCUGAUUGAUCUUACCAAUAUGCUUAUCCGAGCUUGGAUGUCCCAGCUAUUUGAAUGUUGCUGCCCAGCUCCACGUAUUUAUGACAAUACAGUACACUUGGGUACCAUGAGCCAAAUUUGCAAAAGCUUUACUCACUUUUUACUCAUUCUUUACCAAAGCAAAACUCUCAGACUUCAAGAUCACAUUUGCCUGAGUAAUGACUGAGUAAACACAGAGUAAGGAGGCUUUCAGGAUUUGACUCAAAUGUAGGUGUGUUAAACAAGAGCACAAGACUAAAUAAAAUAAUAAAUGGAAGAAGCCAAGGAAUUAUGGUGGUUUGCAAGUGGCUACAAGUGUCUUAUAUUUGUAACACUUGAAGGUCACCUUCUUUGACAUUUGAUUAAUAUAAUUUUCCUUUUCCCCUAGUAAAGUAUUUUAACAGUUGUAGGAGCAUGUACAACUAAUGUUAUGUUCUCUGAUCUACAGACACUUGUAGCUGGUGACAUAUCACCUAUUAAGUACAUGGUUUUUAAAGGUAGCCUGACUUCUAGCACAAUGUGCUGUAUUUAAAUGUUAUGACCAGAUUGUACUUAAAAGUCACUGGCCCACAUUGGGUCCCUGGUUGUCCCAGGUGCACAAAGGAAACGAGAACACUGCACCCUCCGUCAGACAGAUAUAGUCUGCUCCACAUUCUGCAGCUGGUUCUGCUGGCUGGUGCAAACAGGGAGUGGGGCUCCUGCUCCUGACUCUCCCACCCUUUCCUGGAGCUCUCCUGGAGGUGGUGGGACAAAGCAGUCCCUGCACUAGGAAGAGUGCAGAGACAGAUUGUGCUGCCCUGGGGGCAGGAGUUUCAAGUAAGGAAUCAAGCACUAUUUUGACCUUAAUUAACUAGAGCUCAGAUCUGCCACCCUUACACUGCAGGUCAAAUUCAACCCUGGCAUAACUUGGCAGAAUUAAAUAAAGCUAUGUCCACUGGCACCAGAGCUGAAGUUGGCCCAGCAGCUUUAUGUAUUACCUUAAUUAAAAGCACGCUUUACACUCCUGUAAUUCUACUUCCAAAAACACAGGUACAGGUCUUGUAGGCAUCUUACGCUCUUCCAAACCUUGAACUGCUUUGAGCCUCAGGAGAAGCAUUUACCCAGUCCUUCCUCCAGCUCAGGCAAAAGAAAGGGAGGAUCCACAGUUUCCCAGGGUUGGUUUGUUUGUUUUAUUUCUGCUAAGAGUUUACUACAUGUUCAAGGACCAGGCAUAUUGUUAAAGGCAGUGUUGUGUUCAUGUAACUUUUUGUCUUCAGCUGAACUGUCUCCAGUAAUGUCAACUAUGUAUUCAUUGUAAUCAGCGACUGUGAAGGUUCUUGUGUGAUAUGUAUCAGGGAGACAGCUCACUCCACACUACAUUCUAUCCCUGUCUCAGCCGAGCUGCUGGACACAGUUAGGCAGUCUUGGCUUCAAAACCGCUUCCCUAAUAAUGUCAUUGGUAAGAGUGCGCAUUUUUUGCCUUUGUCUUAGACCCAAAGGUUGUUUUCAUUUAAAUAAAUCAUAGAG